rnacentral:rRNA from 1 species
CGUCUAUAUACGUAUAGCAUAUCAAUAAGCGGAGGAAAAGAAACUAACUAAGGAUUCCCUCAGUAACGGCGAGUGAAGCGGGAAGAGCUCAAAUUUGAAAUCUUCAAGGUUCUACCUUUACGAAUUGUAGUUUAAAGAAGUGUUUUCUGUUGGAGUUUUGGUAAAAGUUCUUUGGAAUAGGACAUCAUAGAGGGUGAGAAUCCCGUAUUUGACCAUUAUUUCCAACUUUGUGAUACACUUUCAAAGAGUCGGAUUGUUUGGGAAUGCAGUCCAAAAUGGGUGGUAAAUUUCAUCUAAAGCUAAAUACUGGCGAGAGACCGAUAGCGAACAAGUACCGUGAGGGAAAGAUGAAAAGAACUUUGAAAAGAGAGUUAAACAGUACGUGAAAUUGUCAAAAGGGAAGCGUUUGACACCAGUGUUGUUUUCUCGAAAAUCAAUUAAAAAUGAUUGGAUUUUGUGUUGUAUUGACUUUAUCAGCUUUCUGCACUCUUUUUCCUAGUCUUUUUUAAUGCACUUUUCGUUUAACAAGUCAACAUCAAUUUCUUUUGUUGUAAAAGGUCAUUGGAAGGUGGCUUUCUUUUCGGAGAAAGUGUUUAUAGCCUUUGACUUCUGCAAUCGGAGAGAUUGAGGUCUGCAGCGUAGAUCCUUCGGGGUUAGAUAGCAUUUGUGCUAAGUUAUAGCCUUUCAUAGACAACUUGUUGACUAUGAUCAGUCAUGUAGCUUACUCGCUUAUGUCAUUUUACCUACGCUUAGGAUGUUGAUCUGUAGUGCGUGCGC